rnacentral:rRNA from 1 species
AUUGAACGCUGGCGGCGUGCCUAAUACAUGCAAGUCGAACGCAGUGGGGACGGGUGCGUAACACGUGGGUAACCUCCCAUCAGAGGGGAUAACACUUGGAAACAGGUGCUAAACCGAUACUGAUGGAUGAACCCGCGGUGAAUUAGCUAGUUGGUGAGGUAACGGCUCACCAAGGCCACGAUGCAUAGCCGGCCUGAGAGGGUGACCAGCCACACUGGGACUGAGACACGGCCCAGACUCCUACGGGAGGCAGCAGUAGGGAAUAUUGCGCAAUGGGCGAAAGUCUGACCCAGCAACGCCGCGUGAAUGAAGAAGGUUUUCGGAUCGUAAAACUCUGUUGUUGGAGAGGCGUUAUCUAACGAGAAAGCCACGGCUAACUACGUGCCAGCAGCCGCGGUAAUUC